UACGGAGGAUCCGAGCGUUAUCCGGAUUUAUUGGGUUUAAAGGGAGCGUAGGCGGAUGUUUAAGUCAGUUGUGAAAGUUUAAGGCUCAACCUUGAAAUUGCAGUUGAUACUGUUUUUCUUGAGUGUACAUAAGGUAGGCGGAAUUCGUGGUGUAGCGGUGAAAUGCUUAGAUAUCACGAAGAACUCCAAUUGCGAAGGCAGCUCACAGGACUGUAACUGACGCUGAUGCUCGAAAGUGUGGGUAUCAAAC
rnacentral:rRNA from 1 species